AUGCUACAGGAUGAUUUACCCAUGGAUCGAGAUUGCUUUAAUUUGGUCAUACGGAAGAUUAUGUUUGAUGACAUCCAAACGGCACAAAAAACAAAACAAUUGAUAACAAAGCAUUAUGUUGACAUGAAAUUUUGGAUGACUACUGAUUUUGGACGACACCCAAAAUUCCGCAAAAAGUUAGACGUGGAGCAACUAGCAAAUUCUGUUCGCAGUUGGCCUGGUAUCAAAUAUAAUGUUUCAACAUGCAAAUCGAUUCAUAUUCCAAUACAAUCCAACUGUGAUUUCAUUCUAUUCACAUUGGACAAAGAUACCAGAACAGUCUACAUUUUGGACCCUACUCCUAUUAAUCCCUUGUACCAAUGCAACCCACUCGCAAAAUAUGUGGAAAAAAUUAUAUGGAUUGCCAAA
rnacentral:rRNA from 1 species